rnacentral:rRNA from 1 species
GAUGAACGCUGGCGGCGUGCCUAAUACAUGCAAGUCGAGCGAACAGACGAGGAGCUUGCUCCUCUGACGUUAGCGGCGGACGGGUGAGUAACACGUGGAUAACCUACCUAUAAGACUGGGAUAACUUCGGGAAACCGGAGCUAAUACCGGAUAGUAUAUUGAACCGCAUGGUUCAAUAGUGAAAGACGGUUUUGCUGUCACUUAUAGAUGGAUCCGCGCCGCAUUAGCUAGUUGGUAAGGUAACGGCUUACCAAGGCAACGAUGCGUAGCCGACCUGAGAGGGUGAUCGGCCACACUGGAACUGAGACACGGUCCAGACUCCUACGGGAGGCAGCAGUAGGGAAUCUUCCGCGAUGGGCGAAAGCCUGACGGAGCAACGCCGCGUGAGUGAUGAAGGUCUUCGGAUCGUAAAACUCUGUUAUUAGGGAAGAACAAAUGUGUAAGUAACUAUGCACGUCUUGACGGUACCUAAUCAGAAAGCCACGGCUAACUACGU